CGCUGACGUCACCGGGGCGGUCGCCGGGAGCCCGCGCACCGGGACCCCCGGGAGGAACCACCGGGAAUUACCGGGGGCAGCUCCGGGAGGAGCCCCUGGGCACGGCGGGGCCCCGCGCGGCUCCAGGCACCGCCGCGAUGCGCAGCGGAGCAUCCCGGGAGAGGCGCGGGAAUGCCCCGGGCAGGGCAGCUGGAAUGGAGCUGGCUCCUAGAAAGGCUGAAUGCUUGGAGUCAGAAAAUUCCCUGCUGUCACAUCGUCCCUUGCCUUGGAGCUGGGCUCAGGCUUACAGUGAUUCCUGUUGCACACCCUUCCCAUCCCAGGUGUGCCAGUGGUGCUGAGUGAGGGAACCUGGAGCCCGAGUCAAGAAUUCUGUUUGGUUCCCACACAGAGAGCAAGGUGCCCUGAUGGAGCUGGCAAGGGACUGCAGGUAAGUUUGGUGGCAGAUGCUUAUCUGAAAGGAGGGAUUUCCACUCCCAUCCCUGGCUGUGAUGGGAUGGAGGUCCUGCUCCCUCUGCAGGGAGCUCCAGCUGCAUGGGUUUGUCCUCAGAGUAGGGGCAGGAAAACUCCUUUCUCCUGAGAAGUCUCCUGUGAGAUACCAAUGGAUGAAAUAUGAAAAGA
rnacentral:lncRNA from 1 species